UAACUUACCUGGCACAGGAUAUACCGUGUCGUGAAGGCGGUUUUCCCCAAGGCGAGGCUCACCAUUGCACUCCGGUGGGCGCUGAACCCUUGCGGAUUAACCCAAAUGUGGGGUUAUCGAGUGCGCAAUUUUUGUUAGUGGGAGACUGCCCCCCC